CACGUGGGUAACCUGCCCAAGAGACUGGGAUAACACCUGGAAACAGAUGCUAAUACCGGAUAACAACACUAGACGCAUGUCUAGAGUUUGAAAGAUGGUUCUGCUAUCACUCUUGGAUGGACCUGCGGUGCAUUAGCUAGUUGGUAAGGUAACGGCUUACCAAGGUAAUGAUGCAUAGCCGAGUUGAGAGACUGAUCGGCCACAUUGGGACUGAGACACGGCCCAAACUCCUACGGGAGGCAGCAGUAGGGAAUCUUCCACAAUGGACGAAAGUCUGAUGGAGCAACGCCGCGUGAGUGAAGAAGGGUUUCGGCUCGUAAAGCUCUGUUGGUAGUGAAGAAAGAUAGAGGUAGUAACUGGCCUUUAUUUGACGGUAAUUACUUAGAAAGUCACGGCUAACUACGUGCCAGCAGCCGCGGUAAUACGUAGGUGGCAAGCGUUGUCCGGAUUUAUUGGGCGUAAAGCGAGUGCAGGCGGUUCAAUAAGUCUGAUGUGAAAGCCUUCGGCUCAACCGGAGAAUUGCAUCAGAAACUGUUGAACUUGAGUGCAGAAGAGGAGAGUGGAACUCCAUGUGUAGCGGUGGAAUGCGUAGAUAUAUGGAAGAACACCAGUGGCGAAGGCGGCUCUCUGGUCUGCAACUGACGCUGAGGCUCGAAAGCAUGGGUAGCGAACAGGAUUAGAUACCCUGGUAGUCCAUGCCGUAAACGAU
rnacentral:rRNA from 1 species